CCUACGGGAGGCAGCAGUAAGGAAUAUUGGUCAAUGGACGAAAGUCUGAACCAGCCAUGCCGCGUGAAGGAUGAAGGUCCUCUGGAUUGUAAACUUCUUUUAUCUGGGACGAAAAAAGGGCUUUCUAGCUCACUUGACGGUACCAGAGGAAUAAGCACCGGCUAACUCCGUGCCAGCAGCCGCGGUAAUACGGAGGGUGCAAGCGUUAUCCGGAUUUACUGGGUUUAAAGGGAGCGUAGGUGGGCAGGUAAGUCAGUGGUGAAAUCUCUGGGCUUAACCCGGAAACUGCCAUUGAUACUAUCUGUCUUGAAUAUCCUGGAGGUAAGCGGAAUAUGUCAUGUAGCGGUGAAAUGCUUAGAUAUGACAUAGAACACCCAUUGCGAAGGCAGCUUACUACGGGAUUAUUGACACUGAGGCUCGAAAGCGUGGGGAUCAAACAGGAUUAGAUACCCUGGUAGUCCACGCCCUAAACGAUGGAUACUCGACAUCAGCGAUACACUGUUGGUGUNUGUAGACGAAGACGAGUAAGUAGUACCGACCGUACGGAAGGUAACGGUACCGACGAAGUUAGUAAACGUUACGUUAAAGUAAGUUAAGUUAGACGGCGUUGAGACGAGCGACGGACGACGACGAGGGAGGAGG
rnacentral:rRNA from 1 species